CUGCAGCCCGAGUGGUGAUCGAUUUUAUUGAGCCUAAAGCGUCCGUAGCCGGACUAGUAAACCCUUGGGUAAAUUGGGCAGCUUAACUGUCCAAAUUCCGAGGGGACUGCUAGUCUUGGGACCGGGAGAGGUCAGAGGUACUCAAGGGGUAGGGGCUAAAUCCUGUAAUCCUUGGGGGACCACCAGUGGCGAAGGCGUCUGACUAGAACGGAUCCGACGGUAAGGGACGAAACCCUGGGGCGCAAACCGGAUUAGAUACCCGAGUAGUCC
rnacentral:rRNA from 1 species